AUACGUAGGGGGCGAGCGUUGUCCGGAAUGAUUGGGCGUAAAGGGCGCGUAGGCGGCCCGGUAAGUCUGGAGUGAAAGUCCUGUUUUUAAGAUGGGAAUUGCUUUGGAUACUGUCGGGCUUGAGUGCAGGAGAGGUAAGUGGAAUUCCCAGUGUAGCGGGGAAAUGCGUAGAGAUUGGGAGGAACACCAGUGGCGAAGGCGACUUACUGGACUGUAACUGACGCUGAGGCGCGAAAGUGUGGGGAGCAAACAGGAUUAGAUACCCUGGUAGUCCACACUGUAAACGAUGAAUGCUAGGUGUAGGGGGUAUCGACCCCUUCUGUGCCGCAGUCAACACAAUAAGCAUUCCGCCUGGGGAGUACGGCCGCAAGGUUGAAACUUAAAGGAAUUGACGGGG
rnacentral:rRNA from 1 species